ensembl:lncRNA
GAAAGGCAACUUAUUGGACUAAGUAUUGGCAUGUGUCUGUGUGGCCCACACAGGUAAUGGCUCUGCUGAGCCUUGCUGGUGUGUCUGAGUCACUCUGUGUGGGUGUAACGCUGCUCUGGUUAUUAAUCUCUCUGAAGCCUCUUUGCAGUGAUUAAGGGAGCACUGUAUGAAAGCAGUCUGCUGUGUGGGCUCUCACCAAGGAAGACCCACUAAGUGGAUUUUGCCGGAUCCUUUAGCCAAACUGCUCUUUUCUUGGCAACUGCAGUGUGCAUCAACAUAAAUGUAAAGUCAAUUUCCAGUGUAUUUUUAAUGUCCUUUAUUCAUGUUUUUUGGACACUGCACAAACCACUAAAACGAAACCACAGUACUUAAUGUAGCCAGUCACUUUUCUGAUGUGCCAGCGUGUAUAAAUAAGCCUGAGCAGGAGACGAGCUCACAUUUAAAAGACAGAAAGAGAAAGCAUGCAUGUUCUUACUAGCGAUCGCGUUUGAGUGAAGAGGAGACUUCAGCAGUCCUCUUGAGAGAGAUGAGCAAGGAGCAGAGCUGGACCCCCAGCUGACAGCCGUAAUAGUCCAAGAAGUGGCCAGGGAUCUGGGCUGCAAGGGCAGCUUUUUCUCCAAGUUGACUGCUAAGGACUGGGUUUUUGGGGAGCAGAAGAACUGAGCUCUCACCAAGUUUGCUGUGGAGAUGAGAUCAUAUGGAAGUGGCCUGCAGAAACACAGAAGACCAGCACAAGAUCCAGGAGCCAUUUUGAUCUCUGUGAUGAUCAACACAAAGAACACAACAUCUCAUCCAGCAUCAUCAGAAGCACUAAACCAGACAGAGUUCCCCAUCAGCCCAUACCAAGUCACCUCAGACAAGGCUGAACAAAAGGUCUGCACUGGGGUCGCAGGUGGGGGGAACAUUUAUUUGUCUCUCCAUGUUUUGAAAGAACAGGAUGAAAUUUUUGACAGAAGGAAAUAUUCCUGACCUUAAAAAAAAAAAGAGAACUUAAUAUAGUUUGGCCUACAACUACAUUUUGGCUACAUUUUUGUAAGAAACUUGACAUCUCAAAUGUAAAUUUGCAUUUUGGUUUUACUCUUGAAAAAGACUUGUCUUUGAAAAAUGCUUAUAGCUUUGUUUCCUGAGGAAAUAAGAUUUAUAGUCAUGCUGCGUCCAUAUCGGUUUGUGUCUGCUUACAUCUUCUUUUCUGAAAUUUUGAAUCUCUAGCCUGAGCUCAGCCAAAUUUGACAAAGAUACAGUCCUUAGAAAUAAGGAAGCCUCCACAGAUUUCUUGACUGUCUUCAGAAGAGCCUUGGAUGGCUGUGCAGAAAGUAUAAGAUCCUGUCAGUGCUUCUGGGAAGAGGCAGCAGUGUGAGUUCUCCUAUUAUACAUCAAAGAGCUCACAUGAGAAACGGACAUUAUAAAUGUUCCAGCAUUUAGAGAUUUUCCAUCAGAGCUCUAAACAACCAUGCAUUCAAACCCAUACGAAAGCAGCCACACUAAAUCUACAGCUUACAGAACUGCUUUUCCCCUCUUCAUCAUACUUCUUUGCUUUUUAUCCCUAAAUGUAUUACCAAAAUGAAAGGCACAUGACAUUUUCUUUUCUCAAGUUUCAUUUCUUUCUCUAUUCAUAGUUUUUUGAAACUCCCUCCAGCCAGGGACAAGUUUCCAAAUGGAAGAAGGAAGCAUGAAAAUCUGUAACUGAUGCUUGCUAACUUUUUCAAAAG